rnacentral:rRNA from 1 species
AGCGACCCCGUGAGGGUGAGCAAAUCUCAAAAAAUAACGUCUCAGUUCGGAUUGUAGUCUGCAACUCGACUACAUGAAGCUGGAAUCGCUAGUAAUCGCGAAUCAGAAUGUCGCGGUGAAUACGUUCCCGGGUCUUGUACACACCGCCCGUCACACCAUGGGAGUCGGAUAUGCCCGAAGUCAGUGACCCAACCAUAUGGAGGGAGCUGCCGAAGGUGGAGCCGAUAACUGGGGUGAAGUCGUAACAAGGUACC